GAGUUUGAUCCUGGCUCAGAACGAACGCUGGCGGCAUGCCUAACACAUGCAAGUCGAACGCUCGUAGCAAUACGAGAGUGGCGGACGGGUGAGAAACGCGUGGGUACCUGCCCUGUAGUACGGAAUAACCGCGGGAAACUGCGGCUAAUACCGUAUACGCCCCAAGGGGAAAGAUUUAUCGCUAUAGGAGGGGCCCGCGUCGGAUUAGCUAGUUGGUGAGGUAACGGCCCACCAAGGCGAUGAUCCGUAGCUGGUCUGAGAGGACGACCAGCCACACUGGGACUGAGACACGGCCCAGACUCCUACGGGAGGCAGCAGUGGGGAAUAUUGGACAAUGGGGGAAACCCUGAUCCAGCAAUGCCGCGUGAGUGAAGAAGGCCCUAGGGUUGUAAAGCUCUGUCAGAGGGAAAGAUCAUGACGGUACCCUCAAAGGAAGCCACGGCUAAUUACGUGCCAGCCGCCGCAGUAAC
rnacentral:rRNA from 1 species